GGUCUGUUUGCCUGGACUCGUCAACACCUGGGAAUCGACCACACUGAAAAUGU
rnacentral:lncRNA from 1 species